rnacentral:rRNA from 1 species
CAGCCGCCACGGUAAUACGUAGGUCCCGAGCGUUGUCCGGAUUUAUUGGGCGUAAAGCGAGCGCAGGCGGUUAGAUAAGUCUGAAGUUAAAGGCUGUGGCUUAACCAUAGUACGCUUUGGAAACUGUUUAACUUGAGUGCAAGAGGGGAGAGUGGAAUUCCAUGUGUAGCGGUGAAAUGCGUAGAUAUAUGGAGGAACACCAGUGGCGAAGGCGGCUCUCUGGUCUGUAACUGACGCUGAGGCUCGAAAGCGUGGGGAGCAAACAGGAUUAGAUACCCCUGUAGUCCCUGUCUCUUAUACC